rnacentral:lncRNA from 1 species
CUUUUCCCUUUGACUGGCAGGGCAAGGUAGAAAGUGUCUUAAUGUUAUUUUAAGUGCUUACUACUACUUAGAUGCUGAAAGGGAUGGAGGGCUAUAAGAGGGAGUGUUAUACACUUCUAGCCACCCACAUACAGGCACUCAAGUCCAAGCUCACGGGAGGCAGGACCCUCCAGAACAGCGGAAUAGUUAAGCCAGAUCCUGGCUAGACGCACUGGAGCCAGUCUUAGCCAGACUUGGGUGACACCUGUGAGCUGCUGUUUCCUGAGCUCCUUCAGGUGUGGGAAAGGCCUCCAGGUGUGGGAAAGAAAAUCCAAUUGUCACUUCGUAAAUCAGCCUAGAAUGCCCCUCUACCAGGGAUCUCUGCAAUAUCCCAGAAGCAGGUUCUUUUUUAGCAACUGCUGGUAGGGAUUCUCCUUUAACAGCAAACUAUUACAUUUAGCAUGGCUAAGCAAUGAGGUCCUACUGUACAGCAUAGGGAGCUAUGUCCAAUCUCCUGGGAUAGACAAUGAUGAAAAAUAAUACAAAAAAAAUGUAUAUGUGCAUGACUGAAUCAGUAUGCUGUGUAGCAGAAAUUGGCACAGCCCUGUAAAUCAACUAUAUUUUAAGAAAAAAAGAAAACGUGAUAAAAUUCGUCAAAAUAUAAAAUUCUCCUUAGGAUAAGACCAAUAUAAAUAUAAUCAUGGUUUUCAUUUUUAAUAUCUUACCUUGGAAAUUAAUAUCAACCACUACAUGUGUGGUGUGACUUGUCAAACAAUAAACUUUACUAAGAAUUUUGAGAGAACAUAUGUGUUCCUGACACGCAUCUUACUGCCUGGCACAUAGUAAUAAUUCAAUAUUUGUUGAAUGAAUUCCCUUUCCUACAGUCAUUUCUUUUCCACUCCUUGAAUUUAGGGCUGCACCUGCAGCAUAUGGAGGUUCACAGGCUAGGGGUUGAAUCGGAGCUGUAGCUGCUGGCCUACGCCACAGACACAGCAACGUGGGAUCCAAGCCGUGUCUGUGAUCUACACCACAGCUCACGGCAACGCCAGAUCCUUUAACCCACUGAGCAAGGCCAGGGAUCGAACUUGCAUCCUCAUGGAUGCCAGUCAGAUUCGUUUCCACUGAGCCACAAUGGGAACUCCCAGAAGGCAAUUUUUAAGGGAAAGAUUUGAAGGAGCGAAAAUAAGGAGGAAGGGUAUCAGAGUCUCAAUUCUAUCAGUGUAUUCCUAAAGCUGAAAAUAAAUAAAUAAAUAAAACUUUUCCCUUAGGCAUUAGUAUCUGAAAUCAUAGCUUACUGGUGGAAAAAUUUCAAACAGAUAAUGGACAGCAGCAAAGAUGGUGCUAUGAGUGCAGCAUAACUCAGUUUCUCCACUUCUGCUUCUCUUGGGGGAAGAGUCUGAAAAGUUUUAUCAGAUCUCUUUGUAAAUCAGUAUGUUAGGAAUUUGUGUGGAAUGGAAUUCAAGUACAAUCAUCUCAAAGUACUAUUUUCUUGAGUCUGAGUAUUCCAUUUCAAAAAGAUUUAACAUUUAAAUAAUACUCUGAGAAAUGAAGAUAUUUUGAGAAUAUAAUAAUGUACAAGCUAGUAGGGUAGCCCAAGGUUUAGAUUAGCUAUGAUGAAUACUUUAAGUGUAUCUCUUGAUUCUGUCCAGCUUUUACUUUAUCCCAUGUAUAAUUUGACUUAUUUUUAAUAUGAAUGGAAGAGCUAAAGAUGCUGCAUCUCACAAACACACACACACACUCACACACAAUUUUAUAUACUAAUGAAUAUCAGAGAUGACAAUUUAGUGAUUUAACAGUAGGAUCUUUUUGAAUUUUGAAAUAAAUUUGUACCACUUAAUAGGUACAAUAGGUUCAAACCAUUGAUAUAUGUUUAAAGUUCUAUAAGCUUUGUUUUCUCAAAGUUCACUUUUGUUUAGGUAUCUUAUUUAUUUUUUGCAUAACCUGAAAAACGUAGCAGCAUGUUAAAAAAUGUUCAGUGAAAAUUUCUUUCACUUACUGUUUUUCUGUGUGUCAGAUCUGGACACAUUCAGAAUUCUGGUGUAGCUUUGGGAAGCUGACCAAUUCUGACUCAGCGCUAUGAGAAGGUGAUUUUGGAAUUUAAACAAGUAAUCAGAGUUGCAUGCUUUUAUAACUCUUGAUACUGUUCCUAAUAUUUCUUCUAAAUAUCUUUUUUUACUUUGUUAAUUUUUGAAAUCACCCAGAACCAGUACUCAAUUACCAACAAACUUCAAAUAAAUACUAUGUAUAUGACAAAAUAUUAUAUAUCUUACGUUUUAUGGAUGAAAAACAGAGAUAAAGAUAAUAAGAUAAUAAGUGGUAAAGCAGACCCUUAAACUGGCGUUUGUCUGACUCCAAAAUCUUUUCACUUAACCAAUACAUUACUAUGUCAGGAAACACACUUAGCAAGAAGUAACAGGAAAUCUAACCCAGAGUGGCUUAAAUAAUAAGAAAAUUGUAUUAUCUCAUAACAUGUGAUCCCAGAUGGGGUGGCUCUAGCAUAGAUAAUUCAGUAACUCAAAAAUAUCACAGAGACACAUAUUCUUUCCGUCUCUCCUCUAUGUUAAUUCUCUGUCACUGUGUUGAGUUUCCUCAUGGUCUUAAGAUGACUGCUAUGGUUUGAGGCAUCCCAUUCUUAUAUUUCAAUGUCAAAAGUCAAAAUACAGUGAAAAGACUCAUUUUUUUUUUUUCUUUCUGAAUACUUUUUAGGAGCUAAGAAAUAUUUUUUCUAAAGCUCUCCUAGAAGUCUUACCCUCAUAUUUCAUUAGCCUGAGUCAGGUCAUAUGGCCCUUUCUAAAUAGAUCAUUGUAAAAAAGGAAUGAAAUCACCACAAUUGAUUUAGAAAAAUCAAAAUUUACUGGAGCUAGAGCUGUCCUCUCUUCAAGGACAUGGUGCAUGGAAAAAAAUGUGGGUAUCUGAACAAAUUUUGUUGUGUUUUGUUUUUUUUAGCAAAAGUGGGGAAUAACUCUAGUAGGCAACCAAUAAAGUCCAUUAUAAAAUAGCUAUCUCAUGAUCACCAGGGACAAGGAGGAAGACAGGGAAACACUAAAAGGGGAAAGUUGGAGAUCAGUGGAAAAAGAAAGAAAAAAAUAGUAAUCUCGUGUAUAGCAGGUGUUCGAUAAUUGCUGAUGACAGAAAACGAAUGAAAUACAAUUUACAACAAAGUUAAUCUGACACAUAUUUAAUGAUAUGUGUUGUUCCAUGACAUUUCAGGCCAAUAGUUUAGUAGUCCACAUAAAUAACUGUAAUUAGUACUACUUUUUGACAGAUCUUUAUAGCUUUUAAUCUUCUGUGUUAAUUAACUAGUUUAAGAACAAGCGUCAAUGUUCAGGGGCUUUUUUUUUUUUUUUUUUUCACUCAUCUUACAAAUGAUUGAACCUUAAUCAUAUAUUCACCGCCAAGUACUAGAAUGAUUCCUCAAGAAGUGGA